rnacentral:lncRNA from 1 species
UGUAUAUGUUUCAUGACGUGUAAUGCAGUUAUAAAAGUAUCCGCUACGCGUGCCUGUGUUCUCUAUCGUCUUUGUCCAAUGUUUCCUUUAUAACCACAAAUACCAAUCUUGUAUAUUAUUUUUGUUCUUUAGUUUCGUAUCUACAAUCAUAGAAUAAUAAUUAACAAUCUAUAGUUGUGACUUAUCUAUAUUUUAUAUUUUUCAAAAUUCAAACUGUGUUACAUUAUAUUGAUUAGUGGUAGCUGUAUAAUAUUUAUCACAAAUUCGCAAACCGCAAUAAUAGUUAGAGUACCGCAUAUUAAGUACAAAAGUAGUAUCCAUUAAUUUACUAAAUUGCUGAUUUUCAUGAUUUUUAAACCGGAAGUACAAAGAUAUAUUAUUUGGCUGUUGUGCCUUUGAAAGGUGAUUUUUCGGAAGAAUACAAUCAUGGCGAUGUCCGAACACAAUCUUCGGGAAAAGGUAGGUACAGAACAACCAAUAUUGUUUAUGAAUUAUUUGGUUAUGUAUUGACUUAUAUCUUUAACAUCGAACUUACCAAACUAUUUCGUUUUAUUUUUAUAUAAAUUUGGGUACAUAAAAACUGUUAAGCUUUUUCAUGAUUACUAAAUAUAAUAAAUAUAAUUAUUUUAAAAUUAAUAAAAUACGUAUAGGUAGGUUGUAGGUAACAAUAAUACUCUUAAUAAUUUGACUAGAUUAAUGCAUUAGUUAAUCCCUUGUUACUCAUACGGAGUAAAUAAUGACCUCAGUUUAUUUUUAUUUAUAAUUGUAUGAGUAUUAUCGUUAAAAUAUAUGUUCAUACAUUUCGAUAGUCUCUUAAUAAUAUAUUUUUAUAAAUAUAAUGUUGCUGAUUUUGUGUUAUCUUGGUGUUUUGUUCACUUGCUGGAAUAUUAUAAAGUAAUCAGUGUCAGUGUUUAGAUAUAAUCAAUAAUUUAUCCCUUGUGAGUAAUUUUUUAAAAAAUUUUUUUUACUCUUAAAAUUUAAAAUGAAGAAACCCAAAAGAAGAAACAUAAGUAGGUAGAACAUCUUCUCGAUAUGGUCAACAAUGAAGAUAAUAAUAAUAAUAAUAAAAAUGCCGAAUUUUCACAUACUUAAAAUAUGAUUGAUCAUAAUACAGAUACCGAUCAAUCAGAUUUAGAUAAAGAUUUUUCAGAUAGCAUUAUUGAAUAUUCUGAUUCAGAUUUGUCUUAUUAUGAAUCUGAUGAUGAAAUGUCUUUGGACUUAUUUUUAAUGUCAAUCUCCUAGCAGUAGUCAGCCUGGUUACAUUUUUUUUCCUUUCAAUAUCUUGUGACCAAUAGUACAGAGGUUCUAUACUUUUUUCCUAAUGUUAAUGCACUAUUAUCAGAGGCAUAACCACAUGCCCUUACUACAAAAUUAGUAAUUGUGUUCUCAUUGUUCACUAAUUGGCACUUGGAUGCAUAAAGAGAAUUGAAUUAUCUACCUAAUAUCGUUUUACAUGUACGAACAGCCAUUAAAUGUUGUGUGAAUACAAAUCAUGUAUACAAGGUGGAGGCUGAAAUUUUCAAAAGUAAGAAGAAUAGUUUUCGUUCGCCACGGGGUAUGUUCUUGUUUGAAAAAGAGUAUAGUAUUUGAUCCAAACUGAAUCAUUGUUUAAUCACUAUCAUGCAUUAAGAUCAGUAUGUAUAAAAUAUGCUUUUGUUUUUUUCGUAUCAAUUUAUAUGUCUGACAUCCUUUUUGUGAUACAUCUUAUAGUGCUAAUUUCUCGAAUUUCACCUAUAACCAAUAUUGUUUUUUCUGAUGUAUAUCUUAGUAUCACCAUGACACUUAAGGCAUGAAUUAAAUUCCUUAAUUUAUUAAUUUUUUUUGUUAAAAUUCUACAACUGAUUUUUGGAUUAAAUAAUUCUAUACAAUUCAGUUGUAUUUUGUUACACCAUAAAUUAAUGGAAAAACAUAUACUGAUAUUAGAAUAAGGUAGGAUGAUAUUUGGGCCAAAACUAAAAACCAAUAUUAUAUAAUAUUAUAUUUAAAUAUUUUUAAUAUAAUUUUAAAGAUAAGCAACCACUUGGUUUUUUCACUUUGUACGUCAAAUAUUAAAUUAAUACCAAUUAUAUAUAGGAGAAUUAUUAAUAGUGAGAUAUCAGUGUUUUUAACCAAACCAAACCUUACCAGUUAGAUAUGGAUGAUAGAACUGGUGUUUGAUGUGUGACAGAUAUUAGAAAAGUAUAGAGAGAAGAGAAAAAGUCUAUGUAUGGAUUUUAUAGAUUUAGAAAAGACUUAUGAUAGAGAGUGAGAGAAACUCCGAUGUCAGUGUUAAUGAGAAAAAGAAUUACUAAAAUUGUUUAAUAGUUUGACGGAGGAUAUGUAUGAAUGUUCAAAUUUGAGUAUAAAAGAUGUGUGUGAAAGAUGGAUUUUGGGGUUAAAGUAGAUAUGCAUUAGGGUUCAGUUCUGAGCCCUUACAUUUUUUUCUGUUGUAAUAGAUGAAAUUACAAAGGAAAGACAAGGGGAAGUACCAUUAGUGCAUGAUGUUUGUAGAUGAUAUAAUUUUGACAAAAGAAAAUCUGGAAGAUAAUAAUGUAGGGGAUUAAGUUAGGUGGAAAUUUAGUAUUAGGGUGGUUGAUCCCAAAUAGUUGUGAUGAAGGUGAAAGAGAUAAAUGUAGAUCUGACCAAAGAAUCAUUCAUUUGCAGAUUUAUUUUUCCAAAACAAUAAUCAACAACAAUCAAUUUUAAAAUUUAGAAAUACAUAUUAAAUAUAAAAUGAUUUCUAUUGGUAUAUAUUUCUUUUUAUAUAUAUAUUCAUAAAUAAAAAUUUGCAUAAAACUACUUUGGUUUAUAAGAUAUGGUAUCAUCUGGCAGAGAAGAUACAAACAAAAUGCUAUAUAAUAGGUAUAAUGCUUUGAUCUACAUAACAAAUUGCUGUUUUUGUUUUAAUACAGGAACAAAUUUCAAGGAACCUCCAAGUUCAUUUGAAGGAGUGGAGGGAAAUCAUUGUACUUUUAAAUGAAAUAAUAGUGUGGAAAGCAUUUUGGUACUUUGUUGUUAUAGUUACAUGUCUAACAAUCUCAUAUAUGUAAGUAUACAAAUUAAUAAAUAUUAUUGCACGAACACAAUAUUUAUUAAUGUAAUGUAUGUAAGUAGAAAAUAAGAAUGUAUUAUUAUUUGGUUUAGUUUUUGAAAUAGUAUCUGAAUAGGUAUAUUUUACGGAGUUCCUUAUAUAUACCACAAAAUGGGUUAUAAAAUAAUUUAUUUUAAAAUGUAAUAUUAUUUAUGUGAAUCUGUGGAUUCUAGAUACAUUUGGCUUGUUAAUUGUUCAACAUUCAACAUAAUUUGGACAGUGUGUCUGUGUGCCAGUUUAUUGGAUUAUUUUGUAUGUGGUCCAUUGAAAAUAUUUCUUCCCCCAAAUACCUGGACCAAAGAUAAGCAGUACAUAUAUACUGAAAUUUCUGAUUCAUUAGCUCAUUAUUAUGUAAUUAUAAAGCUGUAUGCUGUAAGGUUUUUCAGUUUCAGACAAUCAAAUAGAAUACUAGUAUGUAUUUUUUUAUAUUAUAAAUACUUUCUUUAGUUAGCACUGCUUUUUUGUAACUUAAGUUAAAAAUCUAUUAUAUUUAUAAUAUUGUAAUUCAUACUUGUUCCAGUUUCAUUUGGUUUUGGUCACUUUAUUUUGUGCUCUUUUGUACCUCUGUAAAACAUUCAACAACUUACUGGUAUCAUAUAUUAUAGGUAUGUAUAAUAUUAUGCUAUAGUGAAAGUUAUAAGAGUUAUAUAAAUUACAUAAUUGUAAUAUCCUAAAGUUAUCAAUAGUAUGCAUGUGGUUAAGCAUUUGAAAAUAAUAUAUACACAAAUUAUUAUUAUUAUUAUUUAAUACAUAUUGUAAUGUUAUAAAUUAUUUUCUAAUUAUUUUGUAUUAUUAGUUUUAGUAAUUUCUUUACUGCCUAUAUGUAAUGUAAGAAAAUACCUGAUGUAACAACGAAAAAGUGCCACCAUCCUGAAGAUUUUUUUUCAUUUAAAUAGAUUCACAGCCAUAAAAUAUGUUACAAUACCUAAAUUGUUAUGUAAAAUACUUAAAAUUAAUUGAACAAUUUAUAAUUAAAAUAAAUCAUUGAUAUUUUAUCAAUUUCACUGAACAGAUAAUAUUAUAUUGUAUAAUUUUAAUAACAUGUAGAUUUUGAUGUGUAUUUUUUUCACUGC